GGACUGUCCGGGUAAAGAUUGCCUGAGCCUGGCGGGUCGCGCCUCUGGAGGAAAGGACCAAUUUGGGGAAGGGGCUCUUUUCCUCCAACUCUCCUAGGGGUGCCCCAUGCUCCAGGGAAAUUUGAGCAUGAGGGUUCUCCGGGGGGUAUCAGCGCAGCUGUGGGAAGUUCAGAGCUGGGGGUUUUAACAUCACUGCGCUCUCAGAGGUAGGAUUUUACUUCUUUGGCUAUGCCCAAGCCGGGAAAACUUGGUGAAUUCAUCACAUUUUGGUGCAGAUUCUGAAGUCGGCUCUGCCCUAACUUAGGUAGGCUCUUUAGUGCGCCCAAGGCCUGUGGUGUGCACUGACUCGGGAGGUAAGCUCAGAGCGAUUUGCCCACCAGUCUUCAUUUUUUCUCACUAGCUCUCAAAGAGGUGUCAGGAGCACACUCUGAAAGGCUAAGCUUUGGGUGAUUCUUAGGGCGGUGCGCAGGGGGUGGGCUUGAAAGAGUAACUUUCGGUGGAGUGAAUAACUGUGCCUCCCACUCUCGGCUGUGUACACAUCUGCUCUUGGGUGGAAAAUCUUCCAAGAAUUCUCUGCAGACCUAGUUCCCCCUCCUGACAGAAAAUGACCUUUUUGGGAGGGUCUCUGAUGUGGAGGAGGACAGAAGAGAGCUCACGGUGUGUGAGGGUUGAAGAACUGUGAAAUCUCCAAACUUUCUGAGAUAACCUCGGAGAAUCAAGUUUGGAGCCUGCUGCGGAUACCUGCUGGUCAAGGAUUUUUUUUUUCCCCCCUCAUUCAACAAACCGUAUCUAAUCAGCUAGCAAAAAAGAUCUCAGAGGCAGCAGGCCGGGUAAAAUAACCAUUAAAGAGGACUGUAUUCAUCACAGCUGGGGUGGGGAAAGGAGGGAGAGAGAGCAAGUGUAAGGCCCAGCUAGGGGCUCGUCCCCCUCCCAAGGAGUGAAAUUGCUCCAGAAGGCAGAGUGGAAGUUUGGUAGGAGAAAGAGUUCUAUGUAAUCUUUUGUUCUAUUUACUGAGCACCUACUUUGCUCCAGGUAUUUCUAGCAUCCAGAAGGAAGGAGACAGCUCUCCUGGAGCACUCAGCUUACAGAGCUUGGGGAUGGGAGGGUCUUCGACGUGUAAGCAUAAGCGGGGAGAACUGAAAAGUCUGUGGCUAUAGAGUAGGGAUGUGUGGCCAGCAGGGGAAGGGCGGGGCCUUCGCACCGUGUUGCCGAAGCCAGGUUUUUCUUCAGUGGGCUCCUGGGAGGCCUCUUGGCCAAAAGAAGCUUGAAGGACCCUAAGAAAACCAUCCGACCUUAUGCAAAUAGAAGACUGAAUCUCAGGAAGUGGGGUGCCUCACUGAUACUCUCCUGGAAUGUAGCCAGUACUGUGGAACCCAUUGUAUCCCCUCUGCCCACCUGUCCAAGGGAGAGGUCACAGAUUUAUGUAUGUGACUACACUGUCUUCAGACAAGCCAGAAGAGGACAUCAGAUCUCAUUACAGAUGGUCGUGAGCCACCACAUGGUUGCUGGGAAUUGAACUCAGGUCCUCUGGAAGAGCAGAUAGUGUUUUAACCACUGAGCCAUCUCUCCAACCCCAUUCUUUACUCUCAAAGGGACAGCACGAAGAUAUUUCCUAACUCACUAUGCCCCUGCCUCAGCCCCCAGAGUGCUGGAAUUACAGAUGUGUGCUGCUGUCCCAGCAGCCUUUAUGCUUUUGUGUAUGUGUGUGAGAAUGUACUUGGCAGCCAGAGAUUAGUAGGCGUUUUUCUCAAUUGCUAGCCUCCUUAUUUUGAGACAGGGUCUCUCACGGAACCUGGAGCUGGUCAGCAAGCUUCUGGGGUCCCUCCAGGGUCCGCUUCCACAGAGCCAGGAGUGUGGGAGUAGACUGCAUGCCCAGCUUUUUGCUUGAGCCCUGAAGAUCUGAACUCACGUCCUAAGGCUUGUGUGGCAAGCACUUUCCCAACAGCCUUCUCCUCCAGUCCUUCGCUGCUGGCUGACCUCCUGCUACAUUUCUCCACCUGCUAUGCUUCCAGGCUCAUCUCACAAACUCAGAGGGGGAUGUGGUCAGGACCCUGGGAGAGUCAAGCAUCCAGUCCUCAAGCUCCAGUCCAGUAUGCUUUCCUGCACACCAGGGGUUCUGAACCUUGCUCCUGACGACAUUUUGGAUUGGCUAAUUCAUUGUGGUGAGAUUGACCCUUGCCAUGUGGGUAUGUUUUGAGUGUUUUCUUGGUUCCUGGUGUGGCAAUGUUGAGGGUUGACUGAGCCUUUAAGGGGUGGCGCCUAGUGGAAGGCAAUUAUGUGUGCUUUAAGGGAGUGAAUUCUGACAAAAGUGAGUUGCUAUAAAGCAAAUUAAGAUCACUGCACAUAAGCCCUUGCUCUCUCCCUCUCUGUGAUGCUGAGACAGCCUGGGCCUUUUACAGGGCAUUCAUGACACACUGUUUGGACUUUCCAAUCACCAGAACCCUAAGCCAAAUAAAGCCAUUUACUGUAGAAAGCACUCAGCCUCCGUCGGUCCCUUACAACAACACAAAGAGACACUGUAACGGAGGAUGCUCAUGGGCACCCUGACCUCGGGGAUGCCCUCUCCAGUAGGAACGCCUCGCCUUACCAAACGUCUCCUGGGGACCCACCAUUCUUUACCAACAUGGCCAUCGCUGGGACCAGGGAAAGCGUCCCAAGUCCCAAGAGUGUCCCAGGGGAUUCAUCCCUCCCCCAAGAAGCCUUUAUUAGAGAUAAGUAAACAGUGAGUCUGAGAUGAACGGAAGCUCACCUGGGGCUCAGAAACAAUCCUGCUGCUUCAGGACCAAGGAACAUGCCAGCCUCCAGGGUGAACAGUUCAACUCCUAGCCACGCUGCUGGCCAUUCACUGGGUGCCCUCUGGCCUCCCGUUUGGCUUGGCCCACCCCCGAAGGACCCACCACCAAGUGGGUAUAAAACGGAGCUAUCUGUGGGUGCUGGUGGUCUGGCUUUGUAAUUGAGACUGAGCAAUGGUGGGAUUUCUGGCCCUAGAAAGCAGACUUUCUUAUCUUCCCAACACCUUUCUCCUUUUCUGGUCCCUCACUUCCCCCAGCCUUCUGAUUUCAUCAAGAGAAAAGUGGGAGAAACGGGAUCAGUCAACCCAGACCAUCCCUUUCCUUUCUGUUGAAUCAAGGAAGGCAGGUGAGUCAUCUUCUACUUCCAGGCUGGGGACCCCAGGGAGGGUAAGGCUGGUCUCUAAGGGAGCCAUUCGGAGUAGUUUAGCCUGUCCACCACAGGCCUUGACCACCUAGAUCUGGGUUGUUAACAACUGCAGUGACCAGACAGGAGACCAGCUGAUGUCCGUCCUGGCCCUGAGCCCAGAGCCUUCCCUCUGCAUCUGGCUCUGCUCGUUCCACGGCAGUUCUUGGGCCCAGCUUUCCAAUGAGGAGCCCACACCUGCAGGACGUGUGUCUUACUCUUGUGGCAUCUGUGGUACCUAGCAAAGGUCUGGACCCGAAGUUAGACUUCACUAAAGAGAAUCACCAGAUUGAUACGUGGCUACAAGACAGUACCUGGGUGUGAAUGAUGGUGAGUGGACCCCACCCUGGUAGGGGGAGCACAAUCCUGUAUGGUGAAUACUGAGGAUUGUGUAACUUAACCCAGCCCAGACACUGUCAGACCUAACUCCAGAGCUGCCUGGCCCAGGACAUCAGCUCCAACACAGACGGGCCAGUGUCCUUGGCAGGGUCAUGGUUCCCAAAAGGUGAGCUCCCAGAUCUGUGGUCUCAAGUCCAAGCACUGAAUGUUGGGGUCCAGUGUGGGCCAUGCAGAGGAAUCAGCGAGGAGCUAGUCAUGUGAGAGUUGCAGGGAACUUGCCGGGAGAACCCCAAUCUUUGAACCAUCUCCUUCCAUGAGGCCAACCUGGGAAAAGAAAGAAGUUAAAGUUUCUUUGGUGUCUUCUCAGGGGACCGAGCGUCACACAGUCUUGGGCUAAGCAGGAAGGUGGCACCCAGCUUAACAGUGGCCACCUCAGCCAUAGUGUUGCCACAGAAAGAGGUCUCCCUCCCCUCUCUGCCUGUUCCUGACCAGCUCUACACUUCAAAGCAUACACCAGUGCUCCUACCGGAAUGUUCCUUCUACACAGAGGCAGCCGGGCAGCGGGACCGUCUUCCAGAUUCCGGCCUCCCCGUCUGUAGGAUCGAGUGCUCUCCGAGCUGGAAGGCAAAGGUGGCCAAUUGUUACCCUGCUGCCAGCAGCCCCUCAGAGGGACCCAGCCACCCAAGCCCCAGCCUUCUCCUCUGCUCUUCUGGCCAGACUUGAAAGCAGGUAUUUGGAAGAGGAAAAGGUAAGCCACCCAACACUCAGUCCAGCCCACCGCUUGGCUCCUAGAGUGAGACUAUGACCCAGCUUCAGACAGGCUCAAGUGGGUAAGCCAACGAGUGCUUAGAGAGUCAGGGGACAUGGUGCAGCCAAGCCUUUACCAACCUGAACCUGACGGGGAGAUACACCUCAGCGGGGGUGGUUCCAGACGCCAGGCCGGGGCGGGAGGUGCCUGGUGGUUCCUGGAGGCUUUCUUCAGGGCUAGGCAGGGCUUGGCUCAGCCCCCCAGGUUCCACAGAACUGGUGAAGCUGGAGGAGGAAGAUGCUGGGCUGCUCCGGUUCUCUGAGGCCUCAGGAGACUCUGAUCUCAGGCUGGGAAUGUCAGAACGAUCUAGAACCACAAAGUGACAAUGUUUUUUUUUUUUUUUUAGUUGCCCCACUCCCCAUGUAGUACAAAGAUAGAAAUGGCAGGCCGGUGAGAGAUGGCUCAGGAGUUAACAGCACUAGUUGCUCUUCCAGAGGUCCUGAGUUCAAUUCUCAGCAACCACAUGGUGGUUCGUGACCAUCUAUAAAGGGAUCUGCUGCCCUCUUCUGGCCUGCAGGUGUAUAUGCAGACAGAGCACUCACAUUAAAGAAGAAAAAAGUACAUAAAUAAAAGAAAAAGUUGAAUCGCUUUCCUCUUUGCUCACUGUCCCAGCUGCCUUUGUUCUAGGAUCCAUCAUGGUGCUUUCCCAACUCCAAGCCCCUGUACCCCAGCACUGCCCUUUAGCAGUCACGUGGUCGCCCCCAGUAGCUACGAUGUAGCUCCUGCUGUUUCUAUUCACCCUCUCUUCAGUCUGAGCCUUCCUGCCCAUCCCCCAAGCUCCGCCUCGGCACCACCCCCUUCAGGGAGUCCUCCUAACCCACUGCCAGCUCCAAUAGGAUCUGCCA